UACGUAGGGGGCGAGCGUUGUCCGGAUUUAUUGGGCGUAAAGCGCGCGCAGGCGGUCUUUUAAGUCUGAUGUGAAAUCUCGCGGCUCAACCGUGAGCGGUCAUUGGAAACUGGAAGACUUGAGUACAGAAGAGGAGAGUGGAAUUCCACGUGUAGCGGUGAAAUGCGUAGAUAUGUGGAGGAACACCAGUGGCGAAGGCGACUCUCUGGUCUGUAACUGACGCUGAGGCGCGAAAGCGUGGGGAGCGAACAGG
rnacentral:rRNA from 1 species